GACGAACGCUGGCGGCGUGCCUAACACAUGCAAGUCGAACGAGGUCCAUGCAGUGGCAACACUGCGGAAGACCUAGUGGCGAACGGGUGAGUAACACGUGAGGAACCUGCCCCGAAGACCGGGAUAACCCUCCGAAAGGAGAGCUAAUACCGGAUGCCCCCACCUGGUCGCAUGGCCGGGUGAGGAAAUGGAUUCCGCUUCGGGAGGGCCUCGCGGCCUAUCAGCUAGUUGGUGAGGUAACGGCUCACCAAGGCAUCGACGGGUAGCUGGUCUGAGAGGACGAUCAGCCACACUGGGACUGAGACACGGCCCAGACUCCUACGGGAGGCAGCAGUGGGGAAUCUUGCGCAAUGGGCGAAAGCCUGACGCAGCAACGCCGCGUGGGGGAUGAAGGCUCUCGGGUUGUAAACCCCUUUCAGCAGGGACGAAAUUGACGGUACCUGCAGAAGAAGCCCCGGCUAACUACGUG
rnacentral:rRNA from 1 species